rnacentral:lncRNA from 1 species
AUGAGGAAAGCCGGGCGGCCCGGGCGGAAGCGCAAGCAUGCCCAGGUGAGCGCGCGGGGGGCGAGGCGGGGGCAGCGGGCGGCCCCCCUCCCCGUGGGCAGCCCCCCCCGUGGGCAAGCUGCGCUGGCCCUGGGACUACGGCUCCCGGCGUGCCGCGGGCCUGUCCCGCCUCCCUGCGCCGAGGAAAGUCCGAGAGCGGCGCAGCGGCCGGAGGGAAGCGUGUCCCCCCCCCUCCCCGCGGCCCCCGCCAGCUCCUCCUGCCCUGGCAGCGCUCGGGGUCCGGCACGGCUGCGGUCGAGGCCCCGCGGUGCACUUGUCCCCGUGCUCCCCCCCCGCCAGCUCCCGGUGCCGCGCAGCUCUGGGAUGGCCCCCGGGGCUCGCUGCAGCAGCUGCAAUAACAAGGGGAGCGUGGCCGCGCGGAGCCCAGCUCCCUGCUGGCUUCCCCGGCUCCCACGGUGUGGGCGAUGCCCCCGGCCACCACCCCGCACGUCCCAACCCCGCUGCAGCCGGGCAGGGCUGUCCCCAUGUCCCUGCUGGUGCCGUCCCUGCGCUCCUGCCCCAUGGGAGCGGCCUCGUGGAGCUGCUCGCGCAGGGGAAGGCUCAGGGCAGCGCCGCGGGGUGGUGCCGCAGGGGUGGAGGGGCCCAGGCAGCAGCAGGACCUUGUGGGGCACCACUUUUGGGCCCCCUGAUGCAGCAGGAGCCGUGGAAGUGGUGGCUCUGUCCCCACGAGUGGUGGCACAGGGACACGUGGGCAUGUGCGGUGCCGGUGGGCACGGCUGGGGAGCGCGCGGUGGCCGAUCUGGUGCUGGGGAGGGAAGGGACUGGGAGAGCUGUGCCAGUCACCGGGUGCCUGCCACCCUGGUUCAGUGCCUGGGGUGGGGGCAGGCGCUCCCCGGGGGGCCACAACCCCACCGGGAAGGCACACGGACCCCCAGGUGUGGGGCUGGUGGCGAGGGGCUCUGGGGAGCCGCCGCGGAGCGCGCGCAUGGCUGCGGUGGGGAGCGUUGGCACCGUCCGUGCCCCAGGGCACCAGCAGGGCUGGGUGCUCAGCCUGCAUGCGCAGCACCCCGUCCCUGUCCCCGCACCCCCAUGGGAGCUGGGGGGGGGGGACACAGAGCCCCUGUCGGGCCGCCCGUGGCUGGAACCCAGCAGUCUUAUGGGGAGCACAUGGAGACACGCAGGGACGGGGGGCGUUUGCUGCUGAAAGAACUUUUUUUUGCAAAGGUUUUGCGGCUGUGA